CAGUAAACAACGCAGAACCUGCAGUUGUAUUUUAAUAAGGUCUGCCUCAUACAAUUCCAGUCAAAAUACCACUUUCAUCAGAAUUAUUUUCUUCCAUGAAAUUGCAUAGGAAAUAUGGUAUGAAAUUACUUGCCAAGGUCAAGAAAACUCAUAAUCUUGAUGAGGGGGAAAAGGAAUAAUUAUGCCUCCAUUUAGACCAGUAAUUCUGAACGGGGGCAAUUUUGCCUUUCCAGGAACCUUUGGCAACGUCUGGAGACAUUGUUGUUUGUCACAACUGAGGAGGUGAGGGGAGUGCUUCUGGCAUCUAGCAGGAACAUUCUACUGUGUGCACAACAGCCUCUGUGAUGGUUAACAUCCAGUGUCACCAUGACACUGGAUUGAAGGAUGCAAAGUAUUGUUCCUGGGUGUGUCUGUGAGGGUGUUGACAAAGGAGGUUAACAUUCGAGUUGGUGGACUGGGAAAGGCAGACUCACCCUCAAUCUGGGUGGCACCAUCUAAUCAGCGCCAUCAUGGCCAGGAUAAAAACAGGCAGAAGAAUGUGAAAAGACUAGACCAGCUGAGUCUCCCAGCCUACAUCUUUCUCAUGUGCUGGAUACUUCCUUCCCUCGAACAUCAGACUCCCAGCUUCGGGAUUAUUGGACCUUUGACCACCAGCUGAAGCCUGCACGGUCAGCUUCCCUACUUUUGAGGUUUUGGAAGUCAGACUGGCUUCCUUGCUCCUCAGCUUGCAGAUGGCCUAUUGUGAGACCUCAUCUUGUGAUCACGUGGGUUUUGGAAGAUGGUUAUGAAGAUAAACGAAUAGUCUGCCAGCUAAGAAGAUAUUCUAGGUACUGAAAACAGCAAGUCUGUGUGUGAUGAUCUCCUCUGCCCUCUCCAACACUUUCUCUCCUUUUUCUGUGAGGCUGACCCCUUGGAUAACAGCAUUGCCAAGGUUGCUUUGCCCUCUCCCUUUCUGUUUUGUAGCUAGUGGGAGGGAUUGACAAAAGAUUGCAAGAUUAGAGCAGUUGGAAAACUUAUUCUCUUGUUCCCCAUCAUCCCUGCAAGUCUGCCAUGGUUCUGACUACAGCUGCAUCCUCCUACAGCUCCAGUCUCUGCAUAUGACCACUCUUUCAAGAUCUGACUCCUGCAAGAGUCUGGUGUGGAAGAAGUUGCAAUAAUACGCCACAUCCACUAGCUGUCCAAUACACAGAUAAUAAAACCCACAUCCUCAUUGUGGUCUACA
rnacentral:lncRNA from 13 species